rnacentral:rRNA from 1 species
GAUGAACGCUGACAGAAUGCUUAACACAUGCAAGUCUUUGGCGAAGCUGUGUUUGCACAGCGUCGCCAAGGCGGACGGGUGAGUAACGAGUAAGGAACUUGCCCUCCAGUCAGGGAAAAAAGCGGGAAAUGACUGAUAAGCCCAGGCAAAGUCAGGCGGACUCAUGUCCAGCCCGAUGAAAAGGGAUGCCGCAGGAGCGCCUUGCGUCCUAUUAGCUUGUUGGUGGGGUAACGGCCCACCACGGCGAUCUUAGGUAGCCGGCCGGGGCGGGUGGACGGCCACAAGUGGACUGGGAGGCGGCCGUUACUCCUUCUGGAGGCAGCAGUGGAGAAUAUUGCACCAUUGGGGCAACCCUGAUCCAGCAAUUCUGGUUGCACGAUGAAUGUUUUCGGAUUGAAAAGUGCUUUCAUCAGACAAGAAGAAAAUGACGGUACCGGCAGAAGAAGCAACGGCUAAAUACGUG